rnacentral:rRNA from 1 species
UUGAACGCUGGCGGCAUGCCUUACACCUGCACGUCGCACGGUAACAGGUCUUCGGAUGCUGACGAGUGGCGAACGGGUGAGUAAUACAUCGGAACGUGCCCGAUCGUGGGGGAUAACGAGGCGAAAGCUUUGCUAAUACCGCAUACGAUCUACGGAUGCAAGCGGGGGAUCUUCGGACCUCGCGCGGACGGAGCGGCCGAUGGCAGAUUAGGUAGUUGGUGGGAUAAAAGCUUACCAAGCCGACGAUCUGUAGCUGGUCUGAGAGGAUGAUCAGCCACACUGGGACUGAGACACGGCCCAGACGCCUACGGGAGGCAGCAGUGGGGAAUUUUGGACAAUGGGCGAAAGCCUGAUCCAGCCAUGCCGCGUGCAGGAUGAAGGCCUUCGGGUUGUAAACUGCUUUUGUACGGAACGAAAAGCCUCUUUCUAAUAAAGAGGGGUCAUGACGGUACCGUAAGAAUAAGCACCGGCUAACUACGUG